AAGUGAUGUUCCCUGUUAUGUUUUGCAGAACCAAAGGCUUGUGGCAGAAAGGUAGCUGGCAUAAGCGAGGUCUCCCUAUGAAAAGUAAUUUUGCUUUGCUAAUGGCAAGCGGCUCAGCAAAGAGAGACCUUGGAGCCUUCACUGCUGUCCUCCCGUGAUUCCUGGUUCUUGCCUGACUUCUGGGGCAGAUGCUGGAGGAUGUGAGUGACUCUUCUCUGCAAUGAGAAUCAUUACUCGUUAGCACAGUUCUUGGUACUCUGUCUGGGACUUGCAGUGUCCAGUUUUCAUUCCCCAGGCCUGUUGCCUUCCCCGGUCUCAGCGCUAAGGUACUAGACUAGAAACCCUGCUCUGGUGGCGGACACUACCCCAAGCCUUCAAGAAUCCGUCAUGCAUCGCAUCCCUUCAGACGCUCCUAUUGUGCAUCCCUGGAUCUCUUUCCUCCUUCCCUGCAUUUUUUGGCAUCCCGCACUGCCCUGCUCUGCAGGCUGAGGGAAGGAAGCACAUCAUGAGCUGACCUCCUGGGCUGAACGUGUCCCCGCUCCGCCAGGCAGAGCUGUCCCGCUCCAGCCCCCUCCUCCUGCUCUCCCCAGCCCCAAAAAGCCUUUGUCCGCCUGUCGAGAGCAGCCCCCCGUCCGUCCCCAGCGUUCCCACAUGGCGCACCCUCCCCAGCAGCCCCCUCCUCAUUCAGCACUUGGGGCUGAAAGAACCUCGGCUAAUUACGCCGGGCUGAAAAUUACCACUUUGCUGUGUUCUCCUGCUGCUGGGCCCAUUUGUGUGGGGCCUGUAGUUAGAGGGAACAAAGCCCCCCCCCCGCGGAGCCAGGCAGGCCCCAAGUGUGAAGCUACAGGUACAAGCAAGAGGGGAAUGAAGGGAAUAAUUACCAGCUUCUCCAGGUGAAAGCCCCGUUAAAACUUCAAUAAGCCAAUUAGGGGCCAGGGUGGGUGUUUGGGGGGGAGAGUGUCCCCCACCUAUGAGUGAUUCCCACCAGGCAAUUAACAGAAAUCAUUUCACGGAGGGGAGGGGAGGGUAAGAAAUGGCUCUUAGAAAUUGUGCCGGGUUGGGGGGGGGGGGGGCUGAAACAGCACGACCGCUGCAGUGGUCCUCGUGUGCCCCAAGCUCCCCGCUCACUGUGUGGCCUCCAAGGGUUGGUGGGGAUAGGGGGAGAGGGAGGAGGGAGAGAAAAACGGGAAAGAAAAAGGAAUCGCUGGAGCUUUACACCUGGGCAGGCUUUGAGAGAGCAAGGGCUGGAGUUCAGAGCUGUGUGUGGGCCCGGAGCUCUGAGCUCAAGGGAGCUGCUGGAUCCAGGGAGGUGGGUGAGGGGGAAGCCCAGGGUGUCUAGAGGUAGAGGUAGGAGUGCAGGAGGGUGAGAACUGAGUGCCAGGUCUUCAGAGAUCUGCCUGAGAUGUGUCUGCAGGUGCCAGCUGCCUUACCCCAAAAGCAAAUGGUGUCUGUGAGGUUUCGUUCUGCUCUGCUGUUUAACCAACUAGUCUUGGGAAGUCCCUAGACUUCCUUUUUUUUUCUCUCCAGGGAGCUUUCUGUGGUUGCAAUAGAAAACUGUAUCUCUUGCACAGCCCUCCUUUUAGACCUGGAAAUGGUUUCUCAGCAGUCACGUUCAGCAGUGAUUUGUCUUCCAAGAUGUAUGCCCAGAAAGGAAGUUCUGUUCAUGAAAAGCGAGCGUGCAGAGGCAAAUGGUUUUAGGAUUGCCUUUCUGCACCCUUGAUGCUGUUUGGUACGUGUUGCUCAGACCAGUGCCCAGGCUGCAUUCUGUAUGACAAUUCUUCUUUGGUUAAAGAGUGUAUGGACCAACCACUCCAUGCCUGGCAAGCCCGGAGGUUGGGGAAGGAGGACAGGGCUGGUGAAGGGGCAGUGAACAAGGAUAUGGGAUGACUUGAGCAGAUGAUACAGAGUGAGACUGCAAAGCAAUGGCUGCAGGGUGGAGGUGUCCAGCCUGCGUGUCUCUGAAGUCUGGAGGAAGACAUGAAGGUAGAAGCCAAUGGAGAGGGUUGGAGAGGUGAAGCUGACCUUUCCUCUACCCUGAGGCGUACAGUAAACGAUGUGGGAGACAAUGACGUGAGCAUUUCUUCUCUCAAACGUGCUGGAAUUCUGCCUCAAAUGUGGGACUGUUUCAACCUGGCUUCACUACAGUGCCCUUCAGUACAAAAUACAAAUGGCUUCUUUUUGGGGACCGCUUUCUAGUUGUCCACUCGGGGCUCGAGGCAGCAUGCGAAUGAGUUAUUAGCCCGUCUCUCCGUGCCCGUGUCACUGGUGCUCCUUGCCAGAGCACGGCAAUUCCUGCUGGAGCAGCUGUGGUUGUAAACGUUGCGGUGUUCAUGCGGUCUUCUUUACGCAUUUUGCUUUCUCUCUGUGCUGGGACCCUGCUGGAGCAUCUGCGGGGACUGGGCAGAGCUCUUCUGUAGCUUCUCUGUGUGCUAUUUACGAUGCAUAUCAGGAGCACAGUUCAACCCUGAGCUGGCUGAUGCCUUGGGACACACUGCGGCAUGCACACGAGGCUGAAGGAAGCAACUGCAGACAUGCCAGCACUUUCUAGUCUGUUUGUGGAGCGAGCCUGGUCAUUUGCCUCCAGCUGCUGGUUCUCUUUGACAACAUUAUUCAAGGCUGAACAAAGGUGAGGCUAUGCUGCCAUGGCUCUCUGCUAGAUCAGGUAAACUCAGUCCUGUUAUUGAGUCCAAAUACAGGACUAUUUUACGUGGAUGCAAUCACUUGGGCCUAAAUAAAAGCUCACCUUUAGAGCACCCCUGAAGAUCUUCGUAGUGAGUUUGGGUAAGCAGUACAGGGAGCUGAGCAGAUUGCUGCAAGCAGACUCCCGAAACCAGGCUUUAACAAAGUGCAGUUGAGAUACCCUUGAGCCUAGAACAGCAGCCAGAGAUGCAGAUAGAAAAUAAUUUAAGUCAGAUUGAUGCAUCUUGUCUUCUUCUCCUUGCAUUGAAGGUCUGGAGCUGGGGUGUUGCAUGGCAGGAUGUGGGAGGAGUGUGGUACAUGGGAUGGGAAGGUCAGAAAGGCUCUUGAGGACUGAGAAUUAUGGAAAAACUUAGUCUGGUAUCAAAAGCUAGCGGGUUAUUGCAGGGCUGUAGUAAAUUGGAUGCAACUUGCACUUGUUAUUUCAGGUUUUGGACAGUUGUGUGUCAUCAGCCUCUUCAAUGUUUCCAGUCCUAUUGUCUUCUAAAUAGUUUUCCACUCUUCCACACUCCCUGUUCUGCAAAGGCACGAUUUUGACUUAUUAACAGCAGCCAGACUUUUGGUGUAACUGCCUUUCCUGCUGACUUUUGCUCAGUUUGUGGUUACUGAGUUGUCAGCACAUAAACCAGCUGUCCUGGUUUACUGGAGAUACUCAUGAUGAGAUGAUGCUUAGUUCAGUUUUCUGGUUAUCCUGCAAGAGGUACAAAGUAGGACUAAUGGGAUCUGUUUGGGGUAGUGUAUCUCUGGGGAAUGAAGGGGCAACACCAGGCUUGCCUGCCCACCUGAUCCUGGCUUUGUCCAGCAUUGCACAAAUAAAAGGCUGGUGGGAAUUUUUGCACAUUUGUGGAGAAGAAAAAAAUGAUGCCACACUUUUUUUUUCCUUCUUCUGCAAGUUAAAUGCCUCUGGGUAAGGAGCACCUGCUUCCCCCACUGUCCCCAUCCCUCUUCCUUUGUGUGCAUCUGCUCUGCUGGAGAAGCCUCGCGCUGGAGGUGCCGAAACUCGCCGUGCCGAGCAUCCUACCCCUUUUCUCUCCCCUUCACAAUGUUGCUACUGUUGCAUCUGCUCCCCAGCCUCCCGGGCCCUUCAGCGGGGGCUCCACCAAGUUUGUGUGACCUUAGCACUGCAUUCAUGCCGGAGGAGUUACCUUCUGUAACGAUGUCAACCGAUGAGGUUAGCGGGAUGCUGGCGGCCGCGAUAAGACAUGACAUGUUCUAAUGAUUCGCCCUAGCGAGCUGCGUGUGUGUGUUGGGGGGGCACAGAGGGGCUCGGAGAGGGGAGGUGGGGGCCCCACAGGUGCCGACAAAGACUUUGACCUUUGCUGCUAUAAUAUCAGUGUUUCACAGGCAGGGCGGUUCGGUAACCCACUUUCAGCCCAUCAAAAAUUGAUUUAAUUGCAAUUUUUUCCCCCAAUUAGGAGCACUGGAGCUUAACUAAUUGGAGUAAUAGAGAGUAAUAAGGCUCUGAUAAAAAGCCUUCCUCUGCCUCCUUUGUAUCUUGUGUCAUCGCCUGUCAGAGGUCAGAGAGCUUGCAUAUUCUAUUAGGCAGAGUUGCCUUCAUUUGUACAAAUUAGUUUACCCAACAGUAAUUAAAAUGCCUGUGCGGGUCGGGAAGAGCUGAAUACAAUUGAUGGGCACGUUGGUGAAGGAUUUGACAGCUCUGGUGGCCUCCCUUGCCAAAGCGUGUCAGUGCUGAAUCAAAGGCUACACAAACCCACAGACCCGUGUGCUUAACCCGCGGCACCGUCGGCACCAACUGCUUUCUCUCCUCUGCUCCGCGCUCCGUUUUUUGGCCUUGCUUUCUCUUCUCCUCCUUUUCUCAUCCCACUUGAGACUCCAUAAAAAAAACGUUUCCCAUCUCUGAGCCAUCCUUUCUGUCGAUGGCUUUCACAACGCUGCUGCCAGCCCCCCUGUCCUGUCUCCCUCGGUGCUCCCCCAGCUCUCCCCCCGCCUCCUACAUUCCCAGCUGCGGGGCUCUGUCAAGUAAUAACUUCUUUGUUUCCUGGUUUGAUGAGUCUCCAUGUCGAACAGUCUCCAAAAUGGAACAACGAUGUCCAGUUCCAAGGGGUGGGAGAGCAGGCAAGGAGGAAGGAACAGGCUCUUGCACGUGUCAAGCAGAUUCUGGGUUCAAAAUCUGUGAAAAGCAGAAUGGGACUUGGGAAGCAAUCCGGUAACACUACAGGGCGCAAGCCUUGAGCACGGUGGAAGCUGAGAAGAGGUUGGAAAGGACCAGUUUCACCCAGGUUCCUUCAAUGUCCACAUUGUGGGAUGCCCAGCUCAGGCAGCACUUGCUCUGAAGGCUGGGCUGACGCUGAGGAAGGUAUGUAGUGUACAACGGGGUUUGCACCACUGGAGCUGAGACCAUUCCCCAGCUUCAUGACAAAGAGAAUCCUUUAGAAAACACUGAUGUGCUGCUACCUCCUUCCCCUGGUUCUUCCACAUCUGUCCAGCAUGGGGUAAAGAAAGGUGCUACAGGUGGGUUGAAGCUGUUGUUGGUAUUUUAGGAGCAGGCGUGGGACUGUUGCAGCUGCAUUUUAGCCAGAAACUGCUGUUGCCAGAAACUACAACUUCUACUCCUACAACUGCUGUUGCCAGAAAUGCCAUGGGAUCAUCAGUGACCACAAGUCAGUUGGAUGGACAACAGCACUGCCAAAAUACGCACUCUCUGUCAUCCGUCCCCUGGCACAGCUUCUGUAGUGGAGGGAUGAUCUCUUCUGAAAUAUCUCCUCUCUAGCAUACAUAGUGGCUUUUACAUGGCAGAGGAGAGCAUAGUGGGGAAAGAGACUGCAUCCACAAGCCUGACCGAAGCUUGGGCACAGCAGUUUUUACGGAGUACAAAAAUACAUCUGGUCACUGUCUGUGUACAGCAGUACCACGUACUUGAGCCGUGGGUCAUCCCUGUGGUAUCAUAUAUAGGUUAUCUUGUGCUUUCUACUUCCCAGUCCAGUGUCUCUUCAAUCCCUGACUCUGAAAGCGCUGGAAGGCAAAAUAAAUGACAUUUAUUAAGUCAGAGAGUAAGACUUAUUCUGUCCUGUUUGUGUACUAUUUUUUUUAGCAGCUCAGUUGGAGUUAUUUCUCUUUGGCAGCUGGCAGGAACAGCUGUGAAGAGAUUGCACUUCUCUAGAUCAGAGGUUUUUGGUGCAUGCUCUGUGCUUCUAAGACAAAAAGCCGUGUUAAAAGGCAAAAUGAAAGAAGUAAGCCUGGUGGAAGGUUUCCAUUCCACUUCCAGAGGCUUUGGAGACAAGCUUUACGUGCUUAGCUCCAGCCUGCGUGCUGUCAGACCCACCCAAGUUUUCUUGUGUUGCUCCUUCUGCUUGGAGCAAACCCCUCACCUCUGAGAGGUUCCCAAUUUGAGAGACCUGAGGAUUGAAGCUGUCUGUCUGCAGGCCAGGCUUGGGGGCCCUGGGAAUCCAGCCUUCCCCUUCCAUUUGCUCCCAGGCUUUGACAGUUUCUCGGUGGCACCACUGCUUUGUGCGUGCUUUGUGAAUGCUGCUCUCUAAUCCUGGCAGCGAAGAUGCCCCACUCUUCUGGGAGAAGUCUUAUCUUUGCUUGCUAAUGGGCUCCAGCCUUUUAAAGAUAAGGUUUGCAAACCUGAUCCUGCUGAAGUAUGAGAGAAAAUUCCUGUUGACUGAAUGAAGGCAGCUUUACCCAGAAGAGACUUGUUUGUGGCCCUGAGGCCUGUACGUGAUGCUGGGGAGAAAUCUCUUCAUCUAAUGUUUUUUGUUUCCCUUUUUUCUUUUUCUUUUUUUUUUUUCUUUUUUUUCGGAGGGUAGGGGAUAAGGACUGAGGAGGGAAAGCUGAAGUCCAGGACUGACAGCAUGAGCGGGGAUUAGACCUUGCCGUUCCUCCCACCUUUCUCUCCCUGUUGGUGUGCCUCCAUGCUAAUUUAGACCUGUGGCAACCAUCAAAGCCUGGCUGCAUACCUUCUGCACAAAGGGGCCUGUCUCCCACGUGAGGGCGUUCUCUGCUGGGACAAAGUCAGUUUGUCCCCCAAAAGAAAAAUCUUAAGCACCCAAUUGCCUGCUUGACUGACUCCCUGACUGCUAUUAUGUUUCUAACCACGGUAAUUGGCUUUAGGAGUUAUUAAUGGAUUAUGUUUGGGGAGGGAGGGACAGAACCCAACACCUAGCUUUGUAGCUGAAGGACUCCCUGACCAAAGUGCUGCUUUCCAGACACGGGGUUUGCCUGGUGAGCUGUCAGGGUGACUCCUUUUUGCUGGUUACACCUGAGCCAGAUGUUGGCGAGAGGGGAAUGUGCUGUGCUUGGUGGAGGGAAGGCAGGUGUUGGGCAAAAACCCUAUUUCCAAGUGCAAAAUGCUGCAGGCUUUCCUAUUUGGCCCUCAGGGCUGCUGCACAACAGGAAUCAGCUUUUAAGAGACUUUUCCUUGGGCUCUCAGCUCUUUGAGAUGGUUUGGUUGAGAUGGUUUGGUGAUAGCUGCCUUCAGCCUUAGGAUUUGGAGAAACCAAUUGCUCAGGUAAAACAUGGAGCUGGGAGUAAAGAGUCCUGAGAUCUGACCUGGCUUCCUCAUGACUCUUCUCUGGCUUUGAUCAAGUCGAAUGCGUGUUCACUGCCUUGCUGCUGGAUGCCUCCUAACGCCAGCAGUGCUUCUCACAGAAGUACAGGACAAGAAUCCAUUCCCACUACAUUAGAGGCUUGGAGAAACCGUCUGACUUCAAAAGGAAGAACGUUGUAGGGGAUCAACAAAAUAUUUAAAAACUACUAUUUUUACAGACACGAUACAUUUCCUUAUUUUGCGUUCCUCUUUGAGCUUCCAUCCCCUAUGUCACGCUGCAGAAGAUGUUUAGGCAAAGCAGAGAGGCAGCUUUUAUUUAAAGCAGGCCCCAUUUCCUGCAUUUGUGCUAUCCUUGUUGCAACGACUUAAACAUAGUUUUGGUGUUUUAUUCUCAGUAGCUGCAAUAACUGUGGCUUUGUGAGAGGUCAUUUAUAGUUUACUUAGAAAUCUUUGUAUGAGCUAGUUUCUCAUUUUUGUCUGAGGAUGGGUAGCUGUCACAAAACAAGCAUGUUUUCUUGCUGCUUUAAUUUAAGGAUUUGUUCCUCUCUUAAAAACUAGUUUGAGGCCAAUGACUGUCAGGCAACCUCUGGAGCUACAUGUGGAGAAGGGAUGCGGCAUCACCAAGAGUUCUUUGUAACGGGCCCUGCUGGAAAGUGUGAACUGAGACAAAUCUUGAUGCCUCUGGUAGAGAGUGCUUGAGCACUGGAGAGGGCAUCCUGAUCCAGCUUUGAAAUCGGCCUUACUUUGAGCAGGUUGGAUGGGAGACCUCCAUUCUGUGAUUUGUUAGGCCUGUGACGCUGCAGCCAAUUCAUGGUUGUGCAGUGAAGUUGUAUGUGCCAUGACAUGAAUUGAAAAUUAAUGGGGAAUUUUCCAUGGGGUGUUCCUGCAGCUGACAGCACUGACAGUGUAUGAAAUGUCCUGAGUACAGUAAGAUUUUGAAAACAUCACUGCAAUUUACAGCUGUUCCUGUUUUAGGCUUUCCAUCCACACAUGCAAAUACUUUUCUGCCUGCUCUUGUGAAAUGUGGUGGAAUAUACUGAAAUAGUCUUGAACCAGAAUUCAAAGCCUUGAAGCCUGCCUUGCAGCCCAUGUUCUCUGUCUUGCUCACACUCUUUCUUCAGAACACGAGGAGUAGUAAGUGUUUUUGUUUGUUUUGUUU